GUAACAAGGUAGCCGUAGGGGAACGUGCGGCUGGAUCACCUCCUUUCUAAGGAUGGUUCUUCAGAAGCUUGCUUCUAUCGAACCGUUUUAGAAACAUCAGUGGCCAACGAUCGUCAGGAUUGUUGAGCUGCAUUGGCGGGAUUUCGCCGUCUUCGUUUCUCUUUCUUCGCGGACGAACACGCGCUGGGCCUGCGAGAGCAGGGUCCCUGGUCCUUGACGGGAUAUGCGUUAGGGGCUUGUAGCUCAGUUGGUUAGAGCGCGCGCUUGAUAAGCGUGAGGUCGGAAGUUCAAGUCUUCCCAGGCCCACCACACUCAUCGGGUAAGCAUUCGUCUUCUGGUUACGGGGCCAUAGCUCAGCUGGGAGAGCGCGUGCUUUGCAAGCAUGAGGUCGUCGGUUCGAUCCCGUCUGGCUCCACCAGAUGGUUUGAUCACCGAGGCUGUGUUUGCAGGUAUUCAACCGUCGUCCGCGAAACAUCACUUCGCACCUGCUAGUCUGGAUAGACAGUGAGGUUGCGUGAUUUCUGACAUCGUAAAGAGGAGAUCGAUCCGAGUUGGAUCGGGCAGCAAGCAAUUGCUGCGCGAACCUUCAUUAUCUCCGGAUCAUUUCGGCGCUCGCGCGCCUUUCAAUGCGGCUCACAAGGCUGCGUCUGAAGGGAAUGCGGGUUGUAAAUGAUCCUUUUAGCGAAGCUUGACCGCCUCGCUAUCGGAACGAUCUUACGAAGCAAGCUGGUCUUUCUAAUCAUUGUCCGGCUGUACGUAGCGUUCAUCGAGGGCGCGUGCCGUAAGGCAAUCGUACAGACAACAUUCUGCCGAGUGUGUGGACAUUGAUAAUGAGAGCAAUCAAGUGCCUUAAGGGUGUUCGGUGG
rnacentral:misc_RNA from 1 species